rnacentral:rRNA from 1 species
CCAGCAGCCGCGGUAAUUCCAGCUCCAAUAGCGUAUAUUAAAGUUGUUGCAGUUAAAAAGCUCGUAGUUGAAUUUCGGGGUUAGUAGGCUGGUCGUGCCACUGGUACGUACUGGUCUCACUGACUCCUCCUUCCUGAUGAACUGUAAUGCCAUUAAUUUGGUGUUGCAGGGAAACUGGACUGUUACUUUGAAAAAAUUAGAGUGUUUAAAGCAAGCUAACGCUUGAAUACAUUAGCAUGGAAUAAUGAAAUAGGACGUUCGAUCCUAUUUGUUGGUUUCUAGGGAUUGACGUAAUGAUUAAUAGGGAUAGUUGGGGGGCAUUAGUAUUCAAUUGUCAGAGGUGAAAUUCUUGGAUUUAUUGAAGACUAACUACUGGCGAAAGCAUUUGCCAAGGAUGUUUUCAUUAAUCAAGAACGAAAGUUGGGGGGAUCGAAGACGAUCAGAUACCGUCGUAGUCUUAACCAUAAACUAUGCCGACUAGGGAUCGGAUGAUGUUAAUUUUUUAAUGACUCAUUCGGCGCCUUACG